rnacentral:rRNA from 1 species
GAUGAACGCUGGCGGCGUGCCUAAUACAUGCAAGUCGAGCGAACGGACGAGAAGCUUGCUUCUCUGAUGUUAGCGGCGGACGGGUGAGUAACACGUGGAUAACCUACCUAUAAAACUGGGAUAACUUCGGGAAACCGGAGCUAAUACCGGAUAAUAUUUUGAACCGCAUGGUUCAAAAGUGAAAGACGGUUUUGCUGUCACUUAUAGAUGGAUCCGCGCCGCAUUAGCUAGUUGGUAAGGUAACGGCUUACCAAGGCGACGAUGCAUAGCCGACCUGAGAGGGUGAUCUGCCACACUGGAACUGAGACACGGUCCAGACUCCUACGGGAGGCAGCAGUAGGGAAUCUUCCGCAAUGGGCGAAAGCCUGACGGAGCAACGCCGCGUGAGUGAUGAAGGUCUUCGGAUCGUAAAACUCUGUUAUUAGGGAAGAACAUAUGUGUAAGUAACUGUGCACAUCUUGACGGUACCUAAUCAGAAAGCCACGGCUAACUACGUG